UACAGAGGUCUCAAGCGUUGUUCGGAUUCAUUGGGCGUAAAGGGUGCGUAGGCGGCGUGGUAAGUCGGAUGUGAAAUCUCGGAGCUUAACUCCGAAACUGCAUUCGAUACUGCCGUGCUUGAGGACUGGAGAGGAGACUGGAAUUUACGGUGUAGCGGUGAAAUGCGUAGAUAUCGGAAGGAACGCCGGUGGCGAAAGCGACGUGCUGGGCCUUUUCUGACGCUGAGGCGCGAAAGCCAGGGGAGCAAACGGG
rnacentral:rRNA from 1 species